GAUGAACGCUGGCGGCGUGCCUAAUACAUGCAAGUCGAGCGAACAGACGAGGAGCUUGCUCCUUUGACGUUAGCGGCGGACGGGUGAGUAACACGUAGGUAACCUACCUAUAAGACUGGGAUAACUUCGGGAAACCGGAGCUAAUACCGGAUAAUAUUUCGAACCGCAUGGUUCGAUAGUGAAAGAUGGCUUUGCUAUCACUUAUAGAUGGACCUGCGCCGUAUUAGCUAGUUGGUAAGGUAACGGCUUACCAAGGCAACGAUACGUAGCCGACCUGAGAGGGUGAUCGGCCACACUGGAACUGAGACACGGUCCAGACUCCUACGGGAGGCAGCAGUAGGGAAUCUUCCGCAAUGGGCGAAAGCCUGACGGAGCAACGCCGCGUAAGUGAUGAAGGUCUUCGGAUCGUAAAACUCUGUUACUAGGGAAGAACAAACGUGUAAGUAACUGUGCACGUCUUGACGGUACCUAAUCAGAAAGCCACGGCUAACUACGUG
rnacentral:rRNA from 1 species